rnacentral:tRNA from 1 species
GUGGGUAUAGCUCAGCUGGUUAGAGCACCAGGUUGUGGCCCUGGGGGCCGAGGGUUCAAGUCCCUCUACUCACC